AUCUGAUAUGGUGUGGUGUGUAACAUCUGAUGUGGUAUGUGGAAUGCUGGAGAUUUUUGAGUGUGUGUUCUGGAGUUCCGUUCAACAAUCCUAUGUUUGUAUUGAAUGUGAUGAUUGACAGUUCAAAUAACUUUUGUAAAAUUGUGCAUAGGCGCCGUACGAUUGUAUUCGUGUUGAUAUAACCUUUUCAUAAUAAAUGUUACCAAUCCUAAGUGUAUUUCAUCAAUGUGUAAUGUGAUCCUUAGUAUAAUAGCACCAGCCUAAAACCGGUUGCAGCUUAGGUUGCUUUCGGUAUUUUACACACCUAGAGAAAAUGACGUCAGAAAUUUCAAAUGCUGUAUCUUUUUAAUGAAGCCCAAAUAAAAAGGUGACCCUAAGAACUUUUCUUUAGAACUGCCUCCUCUAUCUGCUCCUUUAACUUUUUCCAGCCUUCUGAAUCAUCCUGUAUGUAUAUCUUUUCUAUUUCAAUGACUGAAUAUACAUUUAAAAUUUAUCCACUACGAUAAUAGCGAUCAGGUUCCAGAUAAUUAAUUAAUGGAAAAAAAGGAAAUCAAUGGAAUAAUCUGGAAUUUAUAGAGAAAGAGAUUAGAGAUGGGGAAGUCUUUAUUUGCGUAUUUCACGUUGUAUUGGAAUCAGGGAGACUAGUAAGGAGCAGGGCCAAUACCAAACACGAGCUGCAUCCAUACACGUGGAGAGGUACUAGAUGGUAAAAACGGGGAUCGCCGGGCCUGACCCAGCACCACCAAAAAAACUUUUCAGAAGUUACCUGGGGAAGGGAACGUGGAUUCUCCUGCGUGACUUGCCAUUGCCUUACCACUCGGCCGUGCUGCCGGUAGGGAGCUACAUUAGCUAUUUAUGGAAAUGCUUAAAAAUCAUUUUUUCGACCAUUUUUUGUCAACAGAUGACAUCAUUUUCCACUAAAUAAGAGUACUAAGAGACAGAGGUGUCAUCCGGAUUAGGGAGGACGGAGAUCGACGGGCAGGACCCGGACCCGAUGAUAAAUGUAUUCAAAGGGGGAGGACCAGAGACCGGAACUAGGGCCGGGUCCGUAUUCGUAUCUGGGAAAGCCGAACCGAUUCCACGCGACCAAUCCGGACUUUUCCAACCAUUUGUGUUAUUUAUGUGGUCAAAUAUAUCCUUUCGUAUAUUGAGUUAAAAAAUUACUCAAAAGGAAGCUAAUAAAAGUAUCCACCAUAAAAUCUGAGUCUUCGAUUCUUGGAUUAAACUAAUGAUUUCCAACUGAUUCAGCACUCUACGUCGGAUCUGCACGUGAAGAUUGCGCUGAGGCCAGAAGAAUAAAAGAAAAUCAAACACUUACAUACAUUUUCAAAACAUAAAAGGCCUAUUUAUUUCAUUUGUUUUGGUACGUUUUGAUAUUAUAUGAUGAAAAUGUGUCUAGAAAUCAGUAGAUUUUCUAGAAGAUUAAUUUUUAUAUUAAACAGAUUUUAACAAUAAUAAAAAUUUCUUCACCUCCGAUAGAUCUCAAAAUUUAGUUAAACGAAACGCUUACUUAUAAAAUGUUAAUGAGAU
rnacentral:lncRNA from 1 species